GUGAGGAAUUUUCCGCAAUGGGCGAAAGCCUGACGGAGCAAUGCCGCGUGAAGGAUGAAGGCCUAUGGGUUGUAAACUUCUUUUCUUAGAGAAGAAUAUUGACGGUAUCUGAGGAAUAAGCAUCGGCUAACUCUGUGCCAGCAGCCGCGGUAAUACGGAGGGUGCAAGCGUUAUCCGGAAUCACUGGGUUUAAAGGGUACGUAGGCGGUUAAUUAAGUCAGUAGUGAAAGACUGUCGCUCAACGACGGAUGUGCUAUUGAUACUGGUUAACUUGAAUCAGGUUAGAGUUGGCGGAAUGGGUCAUGUAGCGGUGAAAUGCUUAGAUAUGACUUGGAACACCGAUAGCGAAGGCAGCUGACUGAGCCUUGAUUGACGCUGAGGUACGAAAGUGUGGGUAGCGAACAGGAUUAGAUACCCGGGUAGUCC
rnacentral:rRNA from 1 species